UACAGAGGUCUCAAGCGUUGUUCGGAAUCACUGGGCGUAAAGGGCGCGUAGGCGGAUAGUUUAGUCAGAGGUGAAAGCCCAGGGCUCAACCUUGGAAUUGCCUUUGAUACUGGCUAUCUUGAGUUCGGGAGAGGUGAGUGGAAUGCCGAGUGUAGAGGUGAAAUUCGUAGAUAUUCGGCGGAACACCAGUGGCGAAGGCGACUCACUGGCCCGAUACUGACGCUGAGGCGCGAAAGCGUGGGGAGCAAACAGG
rnacentral:rRNA from 1 species